CAGUCGCCGCGGGAAAACGAAGGGGGCUAGCGUUGUUCGGAUUUACUGGGCGUAAAGGGUGCGUAGGCGGAUUGUUAAGUCAGGGGUGAAAUCCCGAGGCUCAACCUUGGAACUGCCUUUGAUACUGUUUGUCUUGAGUUCGGGAGAGGUAAGUGGAACUGCGAGUGUAGAGGUGAAAUUCGUAGAUAUUCGCAAGAACACCAGUGGCGAAGGCGGCUUACUGGCUCGAUACUGACGCUGAGGCGCGAAAGCGUGGGGAGCAAACAGGAUUAGAUACCCCAGUAGUCCCUGUCUCUUAUAC
rnacentral:rRNA from 1 species